rnacentral:rRNA from 1 species
UUGGGCGUAAGCGCGCGCAGGCGGUUCUUUAAGUCUGAUGUGAAAGCCCCCGGCUCAACCGGGGAGGGUCAUUGGAAACUGGGGAACUUGAGUGCAGAAGAGAAGAGCGGAAUUCCACGUGUAGCGGUGAAAUGCGUAGAGAUGUGGAGGAACACCAGUGGCGAAGGCGGCUCUUUGGUCUGUAACUGACGCUGAGGCGCGAAAGCGUGGGGAGCAAACAGGAUUAGAUACCCUGGUAGUCCACGCCGUAAACGAUGAGUGCUAAGUGUUGGAGGGUUUCCGCCCUUCAGUGCUGCAGCUAACGCAUUAAGCACUCCGCCUGGGGAGUACGGUCGCAAGACUGAAACUCAAAGGAAUUGACGGGGGCCCGCACAAGCGGUGGAGCAUGUAGUUUAAUUCGAAGCAACGCGAAGAACCUUACCAGGUCUUGACAUCCUCUGACAAUCCUAGAGAUAGGACUUCCCCUUCGGGGGCAGAGUGACAGGUGGUGCAUGGUUGUCGUCAGCUCGUGUCGUGAGAUGUUGGGUUAAGUCCCGCAACGAGCGCAACCCUUGUCCUUAGUUGCCAGCAUUCAGUUGGGCACUCUAGGGAGACUGCCGGUGACAAACCGGAGGAAGGUGGGGAUGA